rnacentral:rRNA from 1 species
AACGAACGCUGGCGGCAGGCCUAACACAUGCAAGUCGAGCGCGCCCUUCGGGGUGAGCGGCGGACGGGUGAGUAACGCGUGGGAACGUGCCCUUUUCUACGGAAUAGCCUCGGGAAACUGAGAGUAAUACCGUAUACGCCCUUUGGGUGAAAGAUUUAUCGGAAAAGGAUCGGCCCGCGUUGGAUUAGGUAGUUGUUGGGGUAAUGGCCUACCAAGCCGACGAUCCAUAGCUGGUUUGAGAGGAUGAUCAGCCACACUGGGACUGAGACACGGCCCAGACUCCUACGGGAGGCAGCAGUGGGGAAUCUUAGACAAUGGGGGCAACCCUGAUCUAGCCAUGCCGCGUGAGUGAUGAAGGCCUUAGGGUUGUAAAGCUCAUUCAGCUGGGAAGAUAAUGACGGUACCAGCAGAAGAAGCCCCGGCUAACUCCGUG